rnacentral:snoRNA from 1 species
AAAAAGAAUUAAAACAGAUGUGGCUGCUAUGUCACAUGUGCAUCAGUAGGCAGCAGAGAGGAGAAGAAUAUGCCUAAGUCGGUGUCUAACAUAUGAACAUCUGAAUGAUAAGUAGCCUAACAUU